GACGAACGCUGGCGGCGUGCUUAACACAUGCAAGUCGUACGGUAAGGCCCUUUCGGGGGUACACGAGUGGCGAACGGGUGAGUAACACGUGAGUAACCUGCCCACAACUUUGGGAUAACGCUAGGAAACUGGUGCUAAUACUGGAUAUGUGUUCCUGCUGCAUGGGGGGGGUUGGAAAGCUCCGGCGGUUGUGGAUGGACUCGCGGCCUAUCAGCUUGUUGGUGGGGUAGUGGCCUACCAAGGCGGCGACGGGUAGCCGGCCUGGGAGGGUGACCGGCCACAUUGAGACUGAGAGACGGCCCAGACACCUAAGGGAGGCAGAAGUGGGGAAUAUUGCACAAUGGGCGCAAGCCUGAUGCAGAAACGCCGCGGGCGGGAUGACGGCCUUCGGGUUGUAAACCGCUUUCAGCAGGGACGAAGCUUUUUGUGACGGUACCUGCAGAAGAAGCACCGGCUAACUACGUG
rnacentral:rRNA from 1 species